rnacentral:sRNA from 1 species
AUAUCAAUAAGCGGAGGAAAAGAAACCAACAGGGAUUGCCCUAGUAACGGCGAGUGAAGCGGCAACAGCUCAAAUUUGAAAUCUGGCUCUUUCAGAGUCCGAGUUGUAAUUUGCAGAGGGCGCUUUGGCUUUGGCAGCGGUCCAAGUUCCUUGGAACAGGACGUCACAGAGGGUGAGAAUCCCGUACGUGGUCGCUAGCUAUUGCCGUGUAAAGCCCCUUCGACGAGUCGAGUUGUUUGGGAAUGCAGCUCUAAAUGGGAGGUAAAUUUCUUCUAAAGCUAAAUAUUGGCCAGAGACCGAUAGCGCACAAGUAGAGUGAUCGAAAGAUGAAAAGCACUUUGGAAAGAGAGUCAAACAGCACGUGAAAUUGUUGAAAGGGAAGCGCUUGCAGCCAGACUUGCUUGCAGUUGCUCAUCCGGGCUUUUGCCCGGUGCACUCUUCUGCAGGCAGGCCAGCAUCAGUUUGGGCGGUGGGAUAAAGGUCUCUGUCACGUACCUCUCUUCGGGGAGGCCUUAUAGGGGAGACGACAUACCACCAGCCUGGACUGAGGUCCGCGCAUCUGCUAGGAUGCUGGCGUAAUGGCUGUAAGCGGCCCGUCUUGAAACACGGACCAAGGAGUCUAACAUCUAUGCGAGUGUUUGGGUGUCAAGCCCGAGCGCGUAAUGAAAGUGAACGGAGGUGGGAACCCGCAAGGGCGCACCAUCGACCGAUCCUGAAGUUUACGGAAGGAUUUGAGUAAGAGCAUGGCUGUUGGGACCCGAAAGAUGGUGAACUAUGCUUGAAUAGGGUGAAGCCAGAGGAAACUCUGGUGGAGGCUCGCAGCGGUUCUGACGUGCAAAUCGAUCGUCAAAUUUGGGCA